rnacentral:rRNA from 1 species
UACGGAGGGGGCUAGCGUUGUUCGGAAUUACUGGGCGUAAAGCGCACGUAGGCGGAUCGGAAAGUCAGAGGUGAAAAUCCCAGGGCUCAACCUUGGAACUGCCUUUGAAACUCCCGGUCUUGAGUUCGAGAGAGGUGAGUGGAAUUCCGAGUGUAGAGGUGAAAUUCGUAGAUAUUCGGAGGAACACCAGUGGCGAAGGCGGCUCACUGGCUCGAUACUGACGCUGAGGUGCGAAAGCGUGGGGGAGCAAACAGG